rnacentral:rRNA from 1 species
AACGAACGCUGGCGGCAUGCCUAACACAUGCAAGUCGAACGAAAACGUCGGGUCUUUUGGCGCACGGGGUCGUAACGCGUGGGAACCUUCCCUUAGGUUCGGAAUAACUCCCCGAAAGGGAUGCUAAUACCAGAUAAUGUCUUCGGACCAAAGAUUUAUCGCCAUUGGAUGGGCCCGCGUUGGAUUAGCUAGUUGGUAGGGUAAAAGCCUACCAAGGCGACGAUCCAUAGCUGGUCUGAGAGGAUGAUCAGCAACACUGGGACUGAGACACGGCCCAGACUCCUACGGGAGGGAGCAGUGGGGAAUAGUGGACAAUGGGCGAAAGGCUGAUGCAGCCAUGACGGGUAAGUGAUGAAGGCCUUAGGGUUGUAAUGCUCUUUUAACCGGGAUGAUAAUGACAGUACCGGGAGAAUAAGCUCCGGCUAACUACGUG